ACCGGGAUAACCCUGGGAAACUGGGGAUAAUACUGGAUAGGCAAUUUUUCCUGUAAUGGUUUAUUGUUUAAAUGUUUUUUCGCCUAAGGAUGGGUCUGCGGCCGAUUAGGUAGUUGGUUAGGUAACGGCUUACCAAGCCAUUGAUCGGUACGGGUUGUGAGAGCAAGAGCCCGGAGAUGGAACCUGAGACGAGGUUCCAGGCCCUACGGGGUGCAGCAGGCGCGAAACCUCCGCAAUGUGAGAAAUCGCGACGGGGGGAUCCCAAGUGCCAUUCUUAACGGGAUGGCUUUUCAUUAGUGUAAAGAGCUUUUGGAAUAAGAGCUGGGCAAGACCGGUGCCAGCCGCCGCGGUAACACCGGCAGCUCUAGUGGUAGCAACUUUUAUUGGGCCUAAAGCGUCCGUAGCCGGUUUAAUAAGUCUCUGGUGAAAUCCUGUAGCUUAACUGUGGGAAUUGCUGGAGAUACUAUUAGACUUGAGACCGGGAGAGGUUAGAGGUACUCCCAGGGUAGAGGUGAAAUUCUGUAAUCCUGGGAGGACCGCCUGUUGCGAAGGCGUCUAACUGGAACGGUUCUGACGGUGAGGGACGAAAGUUAGGGGCGCGAACCGGAUUAGAUACCCGGGUAGUCCUAACUGUAAACGAUGCGGACUUGGUGUUGGGGUGGCUUUGAGCUGUCCCAGUGCCGAAGGGAAGCUGUUAAGUCCGCCGCCUGGGAAGUACGGUCGCAAGACUGAAACUUAA
rnacentral:rRNA from 1 species